rnacentral:rRNA from 1 species
UACGAAGGGGGCUAGCGUUGCUCGGAAUCACUGGGCGUAAAGGGUGCGUAGGCGGGUCUUUUAAGUCAGGGGUGAAAUCCUGGAGCUCAACUCCAGAACUGCCUUUGAUACUGAGGAUCUUGAGUUCGGGAGAGGGAUGCGGAAUUCCAGGUGUAGCGGUGAAAUGCGUAGAUAUCUGGAGGAACACCGGUGGCGAAGGCGGCAUCCUGGACCACGACUGACGCUGAGUGAGCGAAAGCCAGGGGAGCAAACGGG